CGAGUCUUAACUGGGCGAAUGAGUUGCAGGGUAUAGACCCGAAACCCGGUGAUCUAUCCAUGGGCAGGUUGAAGGUUGGGUAACACUAACUGGAGGACCGAACCGACUAAUGUUGAAAAAUUAGCGGAUGACUUGUGGAUGGGGGUGAAAGGCCAAUCAAACCGGGAGAUAGCUGGUUCUCCCCGAAAGCUAUUUAGGUAGCGCCUCGUGAACUCAUCUUCGGGGGUAGAGCACUGUUUCGACUAGGGGGUCAUCCCGACUUACCAACUCGAUGCAAACUGCGAAUACCGAAGAAUGUUAUCACGGGAGACACACGGCGGGUGCUAACGUCCGUCGUGAAGAGGGAAACAACCCAGACCGCCAGCUAAGGUCCCAAAGUCAUGGUUAAGUGGGAAACGAAGUGGGAAGGCUCAGACAGCCAGGAUGUUGGCUUAGAAGCAGCCAUCAUUUAAAGAAAGCGUAAUAGCUCACUGGUCGAGUCGGCCCGCGCGGAAGAUGUAACGGGGCUAAACCAUGCACCGAAGCUGCGGCAGCGACACAUAGUGUUGUUGGGUAGGGGAGCGUUCUGUAAGCCUGCGAAGGUGUACUGUGAGGUAUGCUGGAGGUAUCAGAAGUGCGAAUGCUGACAUAAGUAACGAUAAUGCGGGUGAAAAACCCGCACGCCGGAAGACCAAGGGUUCCUGUCCAACGUUAAUCGGGGCAGGGUGAGUCGACCCCUAAGGCGAGGCUGAAAAGCGUAGUCGAUGGGAAACGGGUUAAUAUUCCCGUACUGGUGGUAACUGCGAUGGGGGAACGGAGAAGGCUAGGUUGUCCGGGCGACGGUCGUCCCGGUUCAAGCAGGUAGGCAGAGUGAUUAGGCAAAUCCGGUCACUUAAUGCUGAGAUGUGAUGACGAACCACCAAGGUGGUGAAGCAAUUGAUGCCCCGCUUCCAGGAAAAGCCUCUAAGCUUCAGGUUACCAACAAUCGUACCCCAAACCGACACAGGUGGUCAGGUAGAGAAUACUCAGGCGCUUGAGAGAACUCGGGUGAAGGAACUAGGCAAAAUGGUGCCGUAACUUCGGGAGAAGGCACGCUGGCGGUAG
rnacentral:rRNA from 1 species